rnacentral:rRNA from 1 species
UUUGAUGGCGACCGGCGCACGGGUGAGUAACACGUAUCCAACCUGCCGAUGACUCGGGGAUAGCCUUUCGAAAGAAAGAUUAAUACCCGAUGGCAUAGUUCUUCCGCAUGGUAGAACUAUUAAAGAAUUUCGGUCAUCGAUGGGGAUGCGUUCCAUUAGUUAGUUGGCGGGGUAACGGCCCACCAAGACAACGAUGGAUAGGGGUUCUGAGAGGAAGGUCCCCCACAUUGGAACUGAGACACGGUCCAAACUCCUACGGAAGGCAGCAG